UACAGAGGGUACAAGCGUUGUUCGGAAUUAUUGGGCGUAAAGCGCGUGUAGGCGGCUUUGCAAGUCGGGUGUGAAAGCCCUCAGCUCAACUGAGGAGGUGCGCCCGAAACUGCAGAGCUUGAGUGCCGGAGAGGGUGGCGGAAUUCCCCAAGUAGAGGUGAAAUUCGUAGAUAUGGGGAGGAACACCGGUGGCGAAGGCGGCCACCUGGACGGCAACUGACGCUGAGACGCGAAAGCGUGGGGAGCAAACAGG
rnacentral:rRNA from 1 species